rnacentral:rRNA from 1 species
AUGCAGUCGAGGGGUAUAAGUCUUCGGAUUUAGAGACCGGCGCACGGGUGCGUAACGCGUAUGCAAUCUACCUUUUACAGAGGGAUAGCCCAGAGAAAUUUGGAUUAAUACCUCAUAGUAUUAUGAAAUGGCAUCAUUUUAUAAUUAAAGUCACAACGGUAAAAGAUGAGCAUGCGUCCCAUUAGCUAGUUGGUAAGGUAACGGCUUACCAAGGCUACGAUGGGUAGGGGUCCUGAGAGGGAGAUCCCCCACACUGGUACUGAGACACGGACCAGACUCCUACGGGAGGCAGCAGUGAGGAAUAUUGGACAAUGGGCGCAAGCCUGAUCCAGCCAUGCCGCGUGCAGGAUGACGGUCCUAUGGAUUGUAAACUGCUUUUAUACGAGAAGAAACACUGCUUCGUGAAGCAGCUUGACGGUAUCGUAAGAAUAAGGAUAGGCUAACUCCGUGCCAGCAGCCGCGGUAAUACGGAGGAUCCAAGCGUUAUCCGGAAUCAUUGGGUUUAAAGGGUCCGUAGGCGGUUUGGUAAGUCAGUGGUGAAAGCCCAUCGCUCAACGGUGGAACGGCCAUUGAUACUGCCAGACUUGAAUUAUUAGGAAGUAACUAGAAUAUGUAGUGUAGCGGUGAAAUGCUUAGAGAUUACAUGGAAUACCAAUUGCGAAGGCAGGUUACUACUAAUGGAUUGACGCUGAUGGACGAAAGCGUGGGUAGCGAACAGGAUUAGAUACCCUGGUAGUCCACGCCGUAAACGAUGGAUACUAGCUGUUGGAAGCAAUUUCAGUGGCUAAGCGAAAGUGAUAAGUAUCCC